rnacentral:tRNA from 1 species
GAGGAUAUAACUCAGUGAUAGAGUGCAUGCUUAGCAUGCAGGAGGUCCUGGGUUCAAUCCCCAGUACCUCU